rnacentral:lncRNA from 1 species
UCGUACAGAUUGGCUUCUUACUCACUACCUUACAACUUCAACUGCACUACCAACUCUCACAAGAGCCUUAAAUUCUAUAAACGUGUUAGCUUCUCUAGAAGCAGAAUCAGAGCCACUGCCACAAUCUCAGAAAAUGACUCCCAAGCAAAUGCAGCUGAAGAACCACCUGUAGUCAAUUUUGCUUUUGUUCAUGUAAGUCAAAUACACUAAAUAUCAACUUUACAAUUAAUUACUUAAGGACAGAAUUAAUUUUACCUUAAUAUAAACGUCCCUGAUUUAUUCGAGAAAAUUUGGGUGAUCCUUGGUGAGUGAUAUGUUUAUUGUAAUUUAAUGGCAC